UACAGGGGGUGCAAACGUUGCUCGGAAUCAUUGGGCGUAAAGCGCACGUAGGCGGUUUGUUAUGUCGGAUGUGAAAGCCCGGGGCUUAACCCCGGGUCUGCAGUCGAUACGGGCAGGCUAGAGUGUGGUAGGGGAGAUCGGAAUUCCUGGUGUAGCGGUGAAAUGCGCAGAUAUCAGGAGGAACACCGGUGGCGAAGGCGGAUCUCUGGGCCAUUACUGACGCUGAGGAGCGAAAGCGUGGGGAGCGAACAGG
rnacentral:rRNA from 1 species